UGAAACUCAAAGGAAUUGACGGGGACCCGCACAAGUAGCGGAGCAUGUGGUUUAAUUCGAAGCAACGCGAAGAACCUUACCUAAGCUUGACAUCCCAAUGACAUCUCCUUAAUCGGAGAGUUCCCUUCGGGACAUUGGUGACAGGUGGUGCAUGGUUGUCGUCAGCUCGUGUCGUGAGAUGUUGGGUUAAGUCCCGCAACGAGCGCAACCCUUGUCUUUAGUUGCCAUCAUUAAGUUGGGCACUCUAGAGAGACUGCCAGGGAUAACCUGGAGGAAGGUGGGGAUGACGUCAAAUCAUCAUGCCCCUUAUGCUUAGGGCUACACACGUGCUACAAUGGGUAGUACAGAGGGUUGCCAAGCCGUAAGGUGGAGCUAAUCCCUUAAAGCUACUCUCAGUUCGGAUUGUAGGCUGAAACUCGCCUACAUGAAGCUGGAGUUACUAGUAAUCGCAGAUCAGAAUGCUGCGGUGAAUGCGUUCCCGGGUCUUGUACACACCGCCCGUCACACCACGGGAGUUGGAGACGCCCGAAGCCGACUAUCUAACCUUUUGGAAGAAGUCGUCGAAGGUGGAAUCAAUAACUGGGGUGAAGUCGUAACAAGGUAGCCGUAUCGGAAGGUGCGGCUGGAUCACCUCCUUUCUA
rnacentral:rRNA from 1 species